GAGUUCCGCCCGGUUUGAGCCGAUGAUUAAUGAGGGCCGUUAAUUAGAGCGCUGUAUUCCCAGUGUCAUGGACGUGGCUGGGAGCCAAAACCGGAAGGCGUGGAUUCAUUGUCAGAGUGGAUGUGAGAAACUGGGGUGCCCUGAGGGGCGGAGGCAGAAGCCAGGCUGAAAGGAUGCCGUCACCUUCAUCGCCACCCUGACCGCUCGCCAUCGGCCUGCAGGCUCGCGCUUGGUGUUCCCUCCAGCUCUGCAUGGCCCCUGACUACAGCCAUUUUUCCAGCUUCUUUCCCAUGGUGGUGGGGGCAGUGAGUCGAGGGAGCUCAGAGCCCUCAAGAGGAGGAGUCAUAUGCCCUGCAGAGGUGGCACUGAGGGAGGAGAAGACAGAGGCGUGAGCAGGUGACGCCUGCAUCCAGGACCAUCUUGUAGUGGAGGUGUCCAUCCAGCAUGGGGGUGAAGGACGCUGGGAGGAGAGGGAUGGAGGAAAGAAUGGCUUCUAGGGGAGGGAGGCAGACCCCAAGCAGCCAAAAGAAGAGACGCACAGCCUGGGUUGCAGAGAGCCUGGACGAACCCACCGGGCAGGGCUGGAAGGACAGGCACAGGUGAGGAGGGGCGGAGGGCACAGAGUGAGCCAGGCAGAGCCUGUUGGAGGCCGGAGAGGGCCACAUCCUGGCAAGUGGGGCCUCAGCUCAUGGACAGCCUGGCAUGGGUGGUGGGACUGGCGUGGGACUUGCAGGGGUGAGUCUGGAUGCUGGAGCUCCCGGGAGACCCGGCCAGGCGGGUCACGAGGCCAAGGAAUCCAGUACUCCCACAGCCCAGGGACAGUGUCCUGCGCUCCUCAUUUCCCCUUUAGUCCUCACCUGAUUCCUGCUAGAGCAGUGCUCGCCCCCAUGGGGAAACUGAGGCUCAGAGCAAGAGUGGACUUGCAUCAGGUCCUGUAUGCAGCUAAGCCAUCAACCAGGGAACUGUCCUCUGCCUGAGGGUCCAGGAAGAAGCACGGUGCCUCAGCAGCAGCAGAGCCGGACCCCAGGGUUCCAACGAGAAACCUCAUCUGGUGAGACCGUGCAGUCUAGGGGUCUGUCUUGGGGAGCAGGGGCUGGUGUCGAGUGGGAGCCUGGCCCGGGGGAGGCCUGGGCCCUGCAGGAGAUGGAAUGACAUUCCCGGAGGAGGGCCUAGGAGGAGCCCAGGAGAGGAGCUGGGCUUGGUCAGCACUUGGACAUCGGAGCUUAGGAACCCCCGCGGGGUCUGUGGCCUCCCUGAGGGUGUGGGGCAUCCCGUGGGUAUCCCAAGGGGCACCGAUCACAAGUUGCUCUUUAUUAGCACAGGUCACACAGACAUGGCAACAGGACCUGGGCACUCACAGGUUUCUGCUGGUCCUGGUGUCCAGGCUGCAUGGGGAUCCCUUGUCCUUAAUCACAAUGGAGGGAAACGGGGUCGGGGGGAGGAGUUGUGAGGGAAACCAGGUCCCUCCCUGCAGGGAGCUCAGAACGCAGCAUGGAGCUGUGAAGCUGAAACACUGGGGAGCCGCAUGCAGUGAGGCCGCAAUUCAGCAGCAGUGCAUUGGGUCCACCCAGGGGGUAAGCAGGGGUGUGGGGGGGCACCCAUCUGGGAUGUGCAGGGCCUGCUGGGACCCAUUCUCUUCUCAGGCUGCCUCCACCGUGGUGGCUGCAGGUGGGAUCCAUACGUCCUGUGCUGCCCUGGCCUGUUCUUACUGGUAAAGGAGUGGUUUGGAGGAAAAACAAAAACCUUAAUUCAACAGAGGGCUUGCUAUGGGUGGAUUUUUGCUCCCAAAUGGGAAGUAUUUUAAGUCAAUGAGCACUUCCUGUCCUGCUAACAUGUCAGCGAGGAAACACUGCCUCCUCUGCACCACCCUGGCUUUCUUAGAAAAAAGACCAUUUGGAGGAAGGAAUUCAAGAAGUUCAUUGAAACCAUCACUGAUACAUCUCCAGCACUGAUACAUCUCCAGGGCUGCCGUGUGGUGGGUGAGGAAGGACAGUGUAAGAUAGGCUGGACACAGUGAAAAUGGCAGCUCAAGAACAACGGAUCACAUCAUUUUCUUCCUAGAAGAAUCUGGGUUUGGGUUGCAGCUCCACUCAGCAGGAGGCCCGGGAGGAGCUGGGAGCAUCCAGUCGCGAGGGGAAGGGGCGGUGUGCACUCAGGAGUCUCCUCACAGGAGCAUCAGACACUCUCAUGCCUUAAGAUGAUUGCGGCCGCUUCCUAACGGUGCUGUGAGAGCACCUCCGCCAUGCCUGAAGUUUGAGCAACACUGAACCCUAGAAGCUACUGAGUCCUCAAAGGGCAGGGCCUGGUGGCAGCGGGCCAGCCAUGUAGUGACACCAUCCGGAGGUUGCCGGGAGGUGUGCAGAGUGCCCCACUCCAUGCUGGGUGGCUGGGCAGUGGGUCCCACCCUUCACUGCGCAGGGCAGUCAGCCAUGACUGCUGAUUCCACCAGGCCUGGAGGGGCGGUCUUUGAGCAUGGAACCCUUGUUAUCCAAUGGCACCAGCGACUCAUCGUGACAUCAGGGACCCCAACCGAGAAAGGCUUUAGAGGCUGCCCUUGCAAUGGCUCCCCCGCAUCUCCUCCUCUGUGCUCCCUUUUCCUGCUCAUAUGCCAGGAAUUGACUGAGGGACUCCGUGGCGCUUCGGGGCCAGCUCACAACACCCAUGGGGCAGCUGCAGACUGGGGAGACCUCCCUCACGGGAUCUGAUCUUCUCGCAGUUCCUGGGACUCAUGGGUGUGGGGAAGGAGGGGACAGGGGCUGCCCUCCAGUUCUGACCUGAGAACCUGGUGAGGUGGGGUGUCCCUUACUGGGAUGGCAAGACUGGAGAGAUGUGGAGAAAUUUGAUCCAGAUGCCUUAGGUGUGAGGGGUCUCAGGAAUUCAAGGCGGGCUGUGCAGACGUCCAUUAGACUCGGGGAGCUGGAGCUGUGCCCACCGAGGUUCCCUCCAGGGAAGGUCAUGCCCGGUGCCCAUGGCAGCUGCUGCCCAGGCCUGGCCACCUGCGGGGUCUUUG
rnacentral:lncRNA from 1 species